rnacentral:misc_RNA from 1 species
UCCGACUUGACGUCGGCAGUCCCAUUAGAGUGCCCAACUGAAUGUAGCAACUAAUGGCAAGGGUUGCGCUCGUUGCGGGACUUAACCCAACAUCUCACGACACGAGCUGACGACAGCCAUGCAGCACCUCGACUCUACUCCCUUGCGGGAUAUCUGUGUUUCCACAAACGUUGAAAAGCCGUUCGAGCCCAGGUAAGGUUCCUCGCGUAGCGUCGAAUUGAACCACAUGUUCCACCGCUUGUGCGGGCCCCCGUCAAUUCCUUUGAGUUUCAGUCUUGCGACCGUACUCCCCAGGUGCAGGACUUAACGCGUUAGCUCCGGGACGCUCCACGAACGUGAAGCACCCCAAGUCCUGAUCGUUUAGGGCUAGGACUAC